CUGGCGGCAGGCCUAACACAUGCAAGUCGAGCGGUAGAGAGAAGCUUGCUUCUCUUGAGAGCGGCGGACGGGUGAGUAAUGCCUAGGAAUCUGCCUGGUAGUGGGGGAUAACGUCCGGAAACGGACGCUAAUACCGCAUACGUCCUACGGGAGAAAGCAGGGGACCUUCGGGCCUUGCGCUAUCAGAUGAGCCUAGGUCGGAUUAGCUAGUUGGUGGGGUAAUGGCUCACCAAGGCGACGAUCCGUAACUGGUCUGAGAGGAUGAUCAGUCACACUGGAACUGAGACACGGUCCAGACUCCUACGGGAGGCAGCAGUGGGGAAUAUUGGACAAUGGGCGAAAGCCUGAUCCAGCCAUACCGCGUGUGUGAAGAAGGUCUUCGGAUUGUAAAGCACUUUAAGUUGGGAGGAAGGGCAGU
rnacentral:rRNA from 1 species